UAGGGAAUCUUCCACAAUGGACGCAAGUCUGAUGGAGCAACGCCGCGUGAGUGAAGAAGGUUUUCGGACCGUAAAGCUCUGUUGUUGGUGAAGAAGGAUAGAGGUAGUAACUGGCCUUUAUUUGACGGUAAUCAACCAGAAAGUCACGGCUAACUACGUGCCAGCAGCCGCGGUAAUACGUAGGUGGCAAGCGUUGUCCGGAUUUAUUGGGCGUAAAGCGAGCGCAGGCGGAAGAAUAAGUCUGAUGUGAAAGCCCUCGGCUUAACCGAGGAAUUGCAUCGGAAACCGUUUUUCUUGAGUGCAGAAGAGGAGAGUAGAACUCCAUGUGUAGCGGUGGAAUGCGUAGAUAUAUGGAAGAAUACCAGUGGCGAAGGCGGCUCUCUGGUCUGCAACUGACGCUGAGGCUCGAAAGCAUGGGUAGCGAACAGGAUUAGAUACCCUGGUAGUCCAUGCCGUAAACGAUGAGUGCUAAGUGUUGGG
rnacentral:rRNA from 1 species